rnacentral:rRNA from 1 species
AUUGAACGCUGGCGGCAUGCCUUACACAUGCAAGUCGAACGGCAGCACGGGAGCAAUCCUGGUGGCGAGUGGCGAACGGGUGAGUAAUAUAUCGGAACGUGCCCAGUCGUGGGGGAUAACGCAGCGAAAGCUGUGCUAAUACCGCAUACGAUCUACGGAUGAAAGCGGGGGAUCGCAAGACCUAGCGCGAUUGGAGCGGCCGAUAUCAGAUUAGCUAGUUGGUGGGGUAAAGGCCCAACAAGGCGACGAUCUGUAGCUGGUCUGAGAGGACGACCAGCCAAACGGGAACGAGGAGACGGUCCAGGAUCCUACGGGAGGCAGCAGUGGGGAAUUUUGGACAAUGGGCGCAAGCCUGAUCCAGCAAUGCCGCGUGCAGGAUGAAGGCCUUCGGGUUGUAAACUGCUUUUGUACGGAACGAAACGGCCCUUUCUAAUACAGGGGGCUAAUGACGGUACCGUAAGAAUAAGCACCGGCUAACUACGUGCCAGCCGCCGCCGUAA